AAAACUGAAUGAGAGACAAUCCAAAAACUAGAUAUUUGAACGUCUCUGUUUUAGUUUGAAUGUGUUGCACUGAGUAAUCAUAUGCAGUUAAAGAAUACCAUGGUAAUGAGACUGCUCCUUUUCCCAGAUGAAAUUGAUGGAACGUGACAUAUUCUGCUGUUUCUGGAGGUGGCCUCCUUCAUAGCUUGGUCAAUCAGUGCCGAGGUGAUUUGUUAGCAGACCAUCUCACAACCAGAAAAUGUUGUCUUCAAGCGAUUGGAAUGGCAAGGUUUUGUAGUUCAUCCAGCCAAAACUUCUAUCAAUUUGAAAAUUUUGCUUCAACUUUAUAUAGCUGUAAAACUACUGCUGAUUUUUUUACAAUGUAGUAAGCAUUGAUCAGCUACAAUUUUUAUGUGAUAAAGUGGUCUACAUUCUAAUCUGAAAUUCUCAUUUGCUUGAUUUCUACCAUGGAAAAUGUUUGGGCCCCCUUUGGAUGACCUCCACACUCUCAAAGUGAUCCUAGUCCUCUAUGUAUGUGUGAGACCCAUUCAUGUAUGUGUAGGGCUCACUCAUAUAUGUGUGGGGCUCACUUAUGAGUGGUCCAAAUUUGUGGGAAUCUUGUGGAGGUGGGGUCUCAAUCAUUGCUCUUUUACC